UGCAACACACAUAAGCAGCAAAGGACAAGUAUCUAGACUACCUGAAGAAUUUCCACAAAUUGGCCAGGCGUGUGCCUAUAAUCCCAGCUACUCAGGAGGCUGAGGCAGGAGAAUUGCUUGAACCUGGGAGGCAGAGGUUCCAGUGAGCUGAGAUCACGCCACUGCACUCCAGCCUGGGCAACAGAGCAAGACUCUGUCUCAAAAAAACAAACGACAACAACAAAAAAAGAAUUCCCACAUUUGGUAACAGCAAAACAAUAUGAUAGAAAAAAGCAUUAAAAAAAUUUUUUGAACAGUUACUGCCAGGAAGAUGGAACCCUAAUUAAAUAAUUACAUAUCAAGAAACAAUUACAUAUUAAAAAUAUAAUUAGGUUGAAUAUUAUAAGGAAAUGCAAAUUAAAGCCCCAUUAUGAGGAAAUGCAAAUUAAAGCCACAGUGACAUCCUCUUAUACACUACCAGCUGGCAAAACACUCCUACAAUACCAAAUGAGUAUGCAGUGCCACAAGAACUCUUUUACUGCUGGAAAGAUGACAAAUUGGUGCUAGCUUGUGGAAACUUUUCCCAGUAAAAUGACAUGAACAAAAUCUACAACCCAGGUAAAUGUUUAUGUGCAUCAGGAGACAUAUAUAAGAAUGUUCACGACAAUACCGACUAUUCAAAAAUUGAGAAACU
rnacentral:lncRNA from 1 species